UCCCGAAUAGUUCAGUUGGUAAAGACUCUGCCUGCAAUGCAGGAAACUCGGGUUUGAUUCCUGGGUCAGGAA
rnacentral:tRNA from 1 species